CGAUGAAGGGGGAGCUUGCUCCCCUGGAUUAGUGGCGAACGGGUGAGUAACACGUGAGCAAUCUGCCCUUGACUCUGGGAUAAGCGCUGGAAACGGCGUCUAAUACCGGAUACGAGUUGCGAAGGCAUCUUCAGCAGCUGGAAAGAACUUCGGUCAAGGAUGAGCUCGCGGCCUAUCAGCUUGUUGGUGAGGUAAUGGCUCACCAAGGCGACGACGGGUAGCCGGCCUGAGAGGGUGACCGGCCACACUGGGACUGAGACACGGCCCAGACUCCUACGGGAGGCAGCAGUGGGGAAUAUUGCACAAUGGGCGCAAGCCUGAUGCAGCAACGCCGCGUGAGGGAUGACGGCCUUCGGGUUGUAAACCUCUUUUAGCAGGGAAGAAGCGAGAGUGACGGUACCUGCAGAAAAAGCACCGGCUAACUACGUGCCAGCAGCCGCGGUAAUACGUAGGGUGCGAGCGUUAUCCGGAAUUAUUGGGCGUAAAGAGCUCGUAGGCGGUCUGUCGCGUCUGCUGUGAAAACCCGAGGCUCAACCUCGGGCUUGCAGUGGGUACGGGCAGACUAGAGUGCGGUAGGGGAGAUUGGAAUUCCUGGUGUAGCGGUGGAAUGCGCAGAUAUCAGGAGGAACACCGAUGGCGAAGGCAGAUCUCUGGGCCGUUACUGACGCUGAGGAGCGAAAGCGUGGGGAGCAAACAGGCUUAGAUACCCUGGUAGUCCACGCCGUAAACGUUGGGAACUAGAUGUGGGGACCAUUCCACGGUCUCCGUGUCGUAGCUAACGCAUUAAGUUCCCCGCCUGGGGAGUAC
rnacentral:rRNA from 1 species